rnacentral:rRNA from 1 species
AUCUACAGCCAUGCCACCCUGAACAAGCCUGAUGUCUGAUCUUGUGAAGCUAAGCAGGGUCGAGUCUGGUUAGUACCUGGGUGGGAGACCACCUAGAAAGACCAGAUGCUAUAGGCA